CCGCUUUGCUGAAUUAGUGAUCGGCGAAGCUUCAUUUAAGGAGAAUGAUAUGUCACUAACUAAAGAAGAAACCGCAAAAAUCAUUGCUGAGUAUGGCGUUAAAGAA
rfam:Alteromonas sp. Nap_26 scaffold_1145, whole genome shotgun sequence.